GACGAACGCUGGCGGCGUGCCUAAUACAUGCAAGUCGAACGCAGUUGCGAACGGGUGAGUAACGCGUAGGUAACCUGCCUUAUAGCGGGGGAUAACUAUUGGAACCGAUAGCUAAUACCGCAUACUGUGAGAUGGACAUGCGUUGUAUUAGCUAGUUGGUGAGGAAAAGGCCCACCAAGGCCAAGAUACAUAGCCGACCUGAGGGGGUGGUCGGGCAAACCUGGACUGAGGAACGGGCCAGAAUCCCACGGGGGGCAACAGUAGGGGAUCUUCGGAAAAGGGCGGAAGUCUUACCGAGCAACGCCGGGGGAGUGAAGAAAGUUUUCGGGUCGGAAAGCUCUGUUAUGAGGGAAGCGUUAACUAACCAAAAAGGGACGGCUAACUACGUGCCAGCAGCCGCGGUAAUAC
rnacentral:rRNA from 1 species